CUCAGACCCAGCUGCAGGGGUUUUCCGGGUCAGAGAAGAAAAAAAAACCAGCACUUUCUGUGUCUGGACGGAUGAUUUCCUAUGGACGCUCUACACCCUGUGUCCUAAGAAGACUGACCUGGGCAAACCUGGGACACCACCCUCUCCCGGGCUGCAGGGGCCUCGCCCUGGAGGCAGCAGGUGGACGGUCUGCUGCGGCCGAGUCCAUCCUGCACACACCAGGCCCAGCCUGGCAUCCAGGCACGUGGCACCAAGGCUCACAGUGACCCUGCCACCAGCCCAAGAUGAGCCAACCAUCAGAUCACAGCGAAGCAGUUCAGGAGCGAGACCCACCUCUGACUGCUGGUUUUUGGGGACAAAAAGUCCCCCUGGUCGCUCACACCAGUUGCUGCCACGAGCCUCUGGACCGGACAUUGGAGAGCUGGCACUCACUCAGGGCUUGUGACCCAGAGUACAGCCAGAGCCGGGUGCCUGCCAGACACGCCACCAAAGCACUCCACCAAGACCAGAAAGAUAAGUUUCUCUUAUCGCUACCCCUACCUGUGGGGUCAGAACAAGAAAGACGCAGAGUGGCCCGAGAAUCCAGCAGCCCCUCUGACGACCUCCCUUUCUCCUCUUCCUGCCCCUCCCCCACAAGAGGCUGUGGAAAGUGGCUUCUCUUCCCACUGCACCACUGGGAAGGAGGGGUGGGUGAGUGGGUGGAGGCCUGGGCCUGGAUGUCAAGCGCUGGGUCUCAAUCCUGCCUGUGCUGUGUGAUGCUGGGCAAGCACCUUCCCCUCUCCGUGUGGCUCACCUGAGCAGCUCUAACAAGGUCCGCCCACUAGAAUGCAGGCCCCAUGAGGAAUCCUGUUUUGUUCAUUGCUGUAUCUCCAAUGCUCGGCAGUGCUUAGCACAUAAUAUCUGCUCAAUAAAUACGUGCUCAGGAGCUA